rnacentral:rRNA from 1 species
UACGAAGGGGGCUAGCGUUGCUCGGAAUUACUGGGUGUAAAGGGCGCGUAGGCGGAUAGUUUAGUCAGAGGUGAAAGCCCAGGGCUCAACCCUGGAAUUGGCUUUGAUACUGGCUAUCUUGAGUUCGGGAGAGGUGAGUGGAACUCCGAGUGUAGAGGUGAAAUUCGUAGAUAUUCGGAAGAACACCAGUGGCGAAGGCGACUCACUGGCCCGAUACUGACGCUGAGGCGCGAAAGCGUGGGGAGCAAACAGG